GGCCGUGUACCCAAGUGGCCUAAGGGGCUAGAUUGCAAAUCUGGUAUUUCGUGGGUUCAAAUCCCACCGCGGCCU
rnacentral:tRNA from 1 species